rnacentral:rRNA from 1 species
UAGGGAAUCUCCGGCAAUGGACGAAAGUCUGACCGAGCAACGCCGCGUGAGUGAAGAAGGUUUUCGGAUCGUAAAACUCUGUUGGUAGAGAAGAACGUUGGUGAGAGUGGAAAGCUCAUCAAGUGACGGUAACUACCCAGAAAGGGACGGCUAACUACGUGCCAG